UUACGAACAGGGCAAACUAUCUUGAAAGAGAUAGGACGCAAAGCUUCCGGCUAAAAGUUUAUAUACAUAAACUCAUGGUAGCGGGGUUGCCGAU
rnacentral:ncRNA from 1 species